GACGAACGCUGGCGGCGUGCUUAACACAUGCAAGUCGAACGGAAAGACCCUGCGUUUGUUGGGUUCUCGAUUGGCGAACGGGUGAGUAACACGUGAGUAACCUGCCCUUGUCUUUGUGAUAUCUUCAGGGAACUGCGGCUAAUACCGGGUAGGAUCUCCUGCUGCAUGUUGGUCGUUGGAAAGUUUCGGCUGUUGUGGAUGGACUCGCGGCUUAUCAGCUUGUUUGUGGAGUAGUGGCGUACCAAGGCUUUGACGGCUAGCCUGCCUGAGAGGGUGACCGGCCACAUUGCGCCUAAGAUACGGAGCAGACUGCAACGGGCGGCAGCGGUGGAGAAUAUUGCACAAUGGGCGGAAGCCUGAUGUAACAACGCCGCGUGCGGGAAGACGGCUUUCGGGUUGUAAACCGAUGUGGCAUGUGACAAAGCGUGCUUGACGGUAAUGGGUAAAGAAGCAACGGCUAACUACGUG
rnacentral:rRNA from 1 species